rfam:Meloidogyne hapla strain VW9 Mh10g200708_Contig1249, whole genome shotgun sequence.
CCAGCUAUAGCUCAGUUGGUAGAGCGUGGGACUGUAGCUGUUGAACCGUUAUCCUGAUGUCGCUGGUUCGAAUCCGGCUGGCUAGA